CUCAGGCAUUUUUUGCCUUUAAUUUCUUUUUUUUUUUAAAUGCUAAGGAAUUACUAUCUUGCAUCCCUAUCGCACCUUCUAUUCAAGGAUUGCAAAAUGCUGUGCAACUAUGAAUGAAUUAAGCCUCACAUUGUCCCUGGGAGGGAAAAUGAGGCCCCCGAGUUCUAGAUUCCCUGCGGCAAAAAGCUGUCAAUGUCACAGCACAGCAUGAUCAGCCAGGGAAGGUUUCCCUUGGGACAAGAAGCAUGACAGCCAACAAGCUAAACCAGAAGCUCUGGAGGGGUUUGUUGAUGAAAGAUUGUCCCACUUGUAUGUGAUUGUGCAAAGCUGUGAAUGCUAAGAGCUGGUAAGAGGGAAACAGAGCCAAGCAGCAGGAACUGGACUGACUUGAAGAGAAAAAAAUCCAGUCUAGCCAUGAGUGGUA